rnacentral:tRNA from 1 species
GGAAAGGUGACCGAGUGGCUGAAGGUGCACGCCUGGAAAGCGUGUGGGCGGGAAACUGCCUCAAGGGUUCGAAUCCCUUCUUUUCCGCCA